rnacentral:sRNA from 1 species
GUUUUUGGAACUCAGGUUAAGAACGCCACAUCCUGCUCCUGCGAUUACUCGUCGCAAAAUUCCUGCUCCUGCGAUUACUCGUCGCAAAAUUCCUUUUGUGGCAACGGCUGCAUAACCUGCUUCGUGCAGG